rnacentral:rRNA from 1 species
CCUACGGGAGGCAGCAGUAGGGAAUCUUCCACAAUGGGCGCAAGCCUGAUGGAGCAACACCGCGUGAGUGAAGAAGGGUUUCGGCUCGUAAAGCUCUGUUGUUGGAGUAGAACGUGCGUGAGAGUAACUGUUCACGCAGUGACGGUAUCCAACCAGACUGUCACGGCUAACUACGUGCCCGCAGCCGCGGUAAUACGUAGGUGGCACGCGUUAUCCGGAUUUAUUGGGCGUAAAGCGAGCGCAGGCGGUCGCUUAGGUCUGAUGUGAAAGCCGUCGGCAUACCCGAAGAAGUGCAGCGGAAACCGGGCGACUUGAGUGCAGAAGAGGACAGUGGAACUCCAGGUGUAGCGGUGAAAUGCGGAGAUAUAUGGAAGAACACCAGUGGCGAAGGCGGCUGUCUGGUCUGCAACUGACGCUGAGGCACGAAAGCAUGGGUAGCGAACAGGAUUAGAUACCCCAGUAGUC